rnacentral:rRNA from 1 species
UACGGGGGGGGCAAGCGUUGUUCGGAAUUACUGGGCGUAAAGGGUUUGUAGGUGGCCAACUAAGUCAGACGUGAAAUCCCUCAGCUUAACUGGGGAACUGCGUCUGAGACUGGAUGGCUCGAGUGCAGGAGAGGAACGCGGAAUUCCAGGUGUAGCGGUGAAAUGCGUAGAUAUCUGGAGGAACACCGGUGGCGAAGGCGGCGUUCUGGACUGCAACUGACGCUGAGGCGCGAAAGCGUGGGGAGCAAACAGG